rnacentral:rRNA from 1 species
GGAUUAGAUACCCUGGUAGUCCACGCCGUAAACGUUGGGCGCUAGGUGUGGGGGCCAUUCCACGGUCUCCGUGCCGCAGCUAACGCAUUAAGCGCCCCGCCUGGGGAGUACGGCCGCAAGGCUAAAACUCAAAGGAAUUGACGGGGGCCCGCACAAGCGGCGGAGCAUGUUGCUUAAUUCGAUGCAACGCGAAGAACCUUACCUAGGCUUGACAUGCACGGAAAUCUGUCAGAGAUGGCAGGUCCUUUAAAGGGUCGUGCACAGGUGGUGCAUGGUUGUCGUCAGCUCGUGCUG